GGCUCUUGAUACAGAUUUCUCAUUUGCAGAAAUUCUAAUGCAGUUGAAUCAAUGUAAAACCAGCUUGUGUAAUUCUCUAGGGAGAUUGCCUCCAUGGAGUGACCCAGAAUCCAGGAUGCUUUCAUCUUGUGGAUCUACUUCAUGAUCUCCAUGAUUACUCACAAAAGGAAAGAGAACAUAAAGAUACACACCAGGUUUGAAUGCCUCAAAAUAAGAAGCAACACAACUUGCUCUGCUCAUAAUUUUGGGCUGUAGUCAUGUGACCCCAUCUAACUCCACAGGGGCUUGGAAGGAAGUCUUCACAUGUACCCAGGAAGAGGAAGAGGCCGGGCAUGGUGGUCCCAGCCAUCUUUGCCGUAUGUGGUCCCAGUGUGCCUGUAGGAUGAGAUGGAAGUAGAAUGUGGUAAACACGCAGCAUUGCCCCAACCAUGAGGAAUUCCUCUUUUCCUCUCAGUAAUUGACCAUUCUCUGAAAUCAGUGCCCUAAUGAACCUGUGUCCUGGUGUGUUCUCUGUCUCCUCCCACCAGAAAUCCUCUGGAAUAGGAAGCCGACUGACUUGGGUUCAAAUCGUGACUGUCACUUUCUUAAACUUGGACAAAUUAAUCAACUUAUCUCUGCCACCAUCUGUUUUCUUCACUUGUAAAGUAGGUAUAAAAAAAGGGUACU
rnacentral:lncRNA from 1 species